UGGGUUCAAGGGAUUCUCCUGCCUCAGCCUCCUGAGUAGCUGAGAUUACAGUAGGCCAUCCAGAACAUGUGUAAGCCAGUGACACUACAGGCAGCUCUGGGAGCCAGUUUAUAUACCAACUCCUGAUGGUACGUCCAGCCUGCUGCCCAGGAAGGAAGCCAGUGCUGGCAGCUGGAAGGCGCCUGGCGUGUAUGGGAGCAUCAAGAGCAUGGGGAGAUGCACUGCAGUGGCCAGCACAGACCUCCAGUCUGUUAUCACAGUCUCACUCUCUGUAAUAAAAAGGUUAAUAAGGUAACAAGGAGGUUACGUUGCUGUUUUAAUUUUCUUUCCUUGACUAAAUUAUGUUUAACAUCUCUUCAUGCUCAAAAGUUUUUUGUAUGUCUUCUGUGAAUUCUUUUGUGUCAUUUGCUCAUUUAUCUACUUAUGUGGUUUUUGCCUUGAAGAAAAUUUAAAUUUUAAUUUAGUUAAAUGUAUAAAGUUUUAUCUUCAUA